CUGGGGGUGGGGGUGUGGGGGUGUGGGGGGGAACGGUUUCAUUUUGGAAAAAUAAACAGAGCAUAAACAAAAUAUAUGUACAUAAUUAAGGAAAUUUGGAAAUAAUAGUAAUUUGGUAAUUAAUAAUAAAAGUAGGAAUGAGCGAGAAAGUAAAAAAAAAGAACCUGCAGAGAGAGACUGGAAUGCAACGUAGCAAAAAUACUGUCAUUGUAAAAACAUUGGCAAAAACACACUUAUUACGAAUACAACAGCUAACAGAAGCUUAUAUUUUCCAUGUGUAUACUUAUAUACAAGUAAAAAACAAAAAAAAAAAAAAAAAAACAUGCAUAGUUUCUGUUUUAUGGUAUUUAAUAGUACCAAGUCGUAUCAGAUUUUAGAACAUUCAUAUCGAAGUAAGCUAAUAGGAUUUUACACAGCUUAGUCGCAUCAGUUUCUUUUAGCAUAUGAUAAAAUUAUUACUAAAAACAUAUAAUGAAAUAUAAUGACUCAGAAGCUCUGAAUGACCCAAUAAUUGGUCCUAAGCAACUUGGAACAAUUUAGAGUUUCAGUUUGGAAGUGAAAUGCAGAGUGGAGUAUUGUAGAGUAUAGAGGAGUGGAGCAGAGUAUUUUAGAGUAUUAUGGAGGAGAGUAUUGUAGAGUGGAGUAGAAUAGAGUAUGUAUAGUGGAGCAGAAUAUUGUAGAGUAUAGUAGAGCAGAGCAUUGUAGCGUAGAGCAGAGUAUUGUAGAGCAGAGUAUUGUAAAGUAGAGCAGAGUGUUGUUAAGUAGAGCAGAGUGUUGUAGAGUAGAGCAGAGUAUUGUAGAGCAGAGUAUUGUAAAGUAGAGCAGAGUAUUGUAGAGUAGAGCAGAGUAUUGUAGAGCAGAGUAUUGUAAAGUAGAGCAGAGUGUUGUUAAGUAGAGCAGAGUGUUGUAGAGUAGAGCAGAGUAUUGUAGAGCAGAGUAUUGUAAAGUAGAGCAGAGUGUUGUUAAGUAGAGCAGAGUGUUGUAGAGAUAGAGCAGAGUAUUGUAGAGCAGAGUAUUGUAAAGUAGAGCAGAGUGUUGUAGAGCAGAGUAUUUAGAGUAGAGCAGAGUAUUGUAGAGCAGAGUAUUGUAGAGCAGAGUAUUGUAGAGUAGAGCAGAGUAUUGUAGAGUAGAGCAGAGUAUUGUAGAGCAGAGUAUUGUAAAGUAGAGCAGAGUGUUGUAGAGUAGAGCAGAGUAUUGUAGAGUAGAGCAGAGUAUUGUAGAGUAGAGCAGAGUAUUGUAGAGCAGAGUAUUGUAGAGUAGAGCAGAGUGUUUGUAGAGCAGAGUAUUGUAAAGUAGAGCAGAGUAUUGUAAAGUAGAGCAGAGUAUUGUAAAGUAGAGCAGAGUGUUGUAGAGUAGAGCAGAGUAUUGUAGAGCAGAGUAUUGUAGAGUGGAGCAGAGUGUGUAGAGUAGAGCAGAGUAUUGUAGAGCAGAGUGUUGUAGAGUAGAGCAGAGUAUUGUAGAGUAGAGCAGAGUAUUGUAGAAGCAGAGUGUUGUAGAGUAGAGCAUUGUAGAGUAGAGCAGAGUAUUGUAGAGUAGAGCAGAGUAUUGUAGAGUAGAGCAGAGUAUUGUAGAGCAGAGUGUAGCAGAGUAUUGUAGCAUGGAACAGAGUACUAUAGAGUAGAGAAGAACAGAGUAUUGUAGAGCAGAGUAUUGUAGCGUGGAACAGAGUACUGUAGAGCGGAGCAGAGUAUUGUAGAGCGGAGCAGAGUAUUGUAGAGCGGAGCAGAGUAUUGUAGAGCGGAGCAGAGUAUAGUAGAGCAGAGUAUAGUAGAGCAGAGUGAAGUAGAGUAUUGUAGAGUGGAAUAGAGUGGAGCAGAGUAUUGUAGAUUAGAGUGGAGUGGAGUAGAGUAUUGUACAGUAGAGUGGAACAGAGUAGAGUGGGUCACUCCAGAUCUUCUGUAUGUUCAGUAAGGCACUAAUAUACUGGCUUAGGGCACUUCACUAGUGCACUGCAAAGGGAAAAUUUCGGAAAUCUGGCUCAAUUUCCCUACGCGCGAUAUGUACAGCAAUGAAAAGAAAGAAAACGACACAAAUCGCAAGAAAAGAAUGUAAAUAAAAAGACGCACUGAAGUGCUAGUGUGUGAUCAUUUUAAUAUGAUUCACUUCUUCGACAAACCUGAACACGUUGUUAGUGCUCAAUAAUUUAAUGGCCGCGUUCUACAAAAGCCGAAGCCUCACAAUGAACGCCACCUUGGCUUCUAGUCACACAUCCCUGCAGCCUUACAUUGUUCUCUGUACACUGAAGACUACAGUGUACUACUUAACAUUACUGCGUUAGGUGUUACGGAUCUGUUCAAAUCUGUUUCUCAAAAACGUCACGGUGUCAAUUAGGCCGAUAAUCAGCUGUGUUAUAUACACAGUACAGUCCCCUCCAAAAGUAUUGGAACGGCAAGGCCAAUUCUAUUGUUUUCGCUGUACACUGAAGACAUUCGGGUUUGAGAUCAAAAGAUGAAUAAGACCGGCUUUUAUUUUCCUCAUGUUUACAUCCAGAUGUCUUAAACAACGCAGAACCUUUUGUUUGAAUCCACUCAUUUAUUCAAGCGGUCAAAAUAUUCAACAUGUGACAGAUAGGCAUUUCAUGCUGCUCAGGUGUGCCCUGUUAAACUAAUUGUGUAUAGAAUUAAUAAUCGCUGAACGUCUACUCUUGUUUCGAGCCCUAGGUUUCACCUGAUAAGACUGCAUUUGUUGUUCAAAAGGAUAAACCAACACGAAGACCUGAGAGCUGUCUAUGGGAGAAAA
ensembl:lncRNA